GACGAACGCUGGCGGCGUGCUUAACACAUGCAAGUCGAACGGUAAGGCCCUUCGGGGUACACGAGUGGCGAACGGGUGAGUAACACGUGGGUGAUCUGCCCUGCACUUCGGGAUAAGCCUGGGAAACUGGGUCUAAUACCGGAUAGGACCACUGCCUGCAUGGGUGGUGGUGGAAAGCUUUUGCGGUGUGGGAUGGGCCCGCGGCCUAUCAGCUUGUUGGUGGGGUGAUGGCCUACCAAGGCGACGACGGGUAGCCGGCCUGGGAGGGUGACCGGCCACAGUGGGGCUGAGAUACGGCCCAGACUCCUACGGGAGGCAGCAGUGGGGAAUAUUGCACAAUGGGCGCAAGCCUGAUGCAGCGACGCCGCGUGAGGGAUGACGGCCUUCGGGUUGUAAACCUCUUUCAGCACCGACGAAGCGCAAGUGACGGUAGGUGCAGAAGAAGGACCGGCCAGCUACGUGCCAGCAGCCGCCGCGG
rnacentral:rRNA from 1 species